rnacentral:rRNA from 1 species
AACGAACGCUGGCGGCAUGCCUAACACAUGCAAGUCGAACGAGACCUUCGGGUCUAGUGGCGCACGGGUGCGUAACGCGUGGGAACCUGCCCUUAGGUUCGGAAUAACUCCCCGAAAGGGGUGCUAAUACCGGAUAAUGUCUUCGGACCAAAGAUUUAUCGCCUUUGGAUGGGCCCGCGUUGGAUUAGCUAGUUGGUAGGGUAAAAGCCUACCAAGGCGACGAUCCAUAGCUGGUCUGAGAGGAUGAUCAGCCACACUGGGACUGAGACACGGCCCAGACUCCUACGGGAGGCAGCAGUGGGAAAUAUUGGACAAUGGGCGAAAGCCUGAUCCAGCAAUGCCGCGUGAGUGAUGAAGGCCUUAGGGUUGUAAAGCCCUUUUACCCGGGAUGAUAAUGACAGUACCGGGAGAAUAAGCUCCGGCUAACUCCGUG